rnacentral:misc_RNA from 1 species
UGUCAAUUAACACCGAGAGAUCAUACGGCUGUGGAGCAGUAGCAGAGGAUUCCUUGAGCAACGAAGAUUUGAUGGCUUCGAGAUCGGCAUGUUCCAGUGUAUUUGAAACAGGGCUGUUCGAUCCAGAUGUGGAGACGCUAGAUAACUGUAUAUCGUCGAUCCUGCCUCCGUACAUGUGUUUGUUCUUCCUAACUGCAUCCAUCUCCUGCCCGGUUGGCACAAAUGUACGUGACCGGUACUUGGUUCCUCCCUCGUCACCCUCGGAGUUG